UACAAAUGGAGAUUCAGUCAAUUCUCAACACUUUGUAGAGACGUUUUUCUUUAUCAAUUGAUAUAAUCUUCCUUUCACAGUUCUCGAUAAUUGAAAGAAACCAACAAUAUUUCUUAUUAUGUUCCUCUUUUCUGUAUGUCUUUGCUGAUUCACAGUUUUCUCUUUUAUUUUCUUGAUCCCAGCAGUGAGUUUUUACCACAUUUUUUUCGUAUCAAACACUUCAAGCAACUCCUUUUUACCCAGGGAGAACUGCUUAAUCUUUCCCCUUCCUUCCUAGGGAAAAGGAAAACAAAACCAACACUUACUUUUUCUGUUUAUAAUUUAAUAAACUAUUUCUCACUCUUUCAACUCAAGUUACUGCGACAGCUGCACACAAUAAGACACCUUUAUCUCCGACAUUAUAUCGUUUAUUAAUCUUCAAUGAUAUAGGAGAUAAAAGUCUUUGAACAAAGUGGUACUUUUAUAUAUCAAUUUCAAUGAAUUAUUUUGCCCUCCCUUAUUGUAUGUCUAGUUAGUUCCCAUAAAUUGGCAGAUUUAUUAAAAUGAUAAACAAUGUCUCUUAGUUGCUCUGAAUUUUACAUCUUAUCUCACUUUUUCC
rnacentral:lncRNA from 1 species